UCUUCUCCUUUCAGGUCACAUUUAAGACUCUGCUUCUCAGAACCCUUGCAGUUGUGGGCACGUGACUAGUUCUGGUAAUAGAAUGUAUGUAGCAAAAGAAUUGGACAAGACUGAGCGACUAAGCACAGCAGAGCACAGCACAACACAGCAAUUGGACUGUGCCUUAAUCUUCUGAAGUUUCCAUGAUACCAGCUUUACUCUAAAGGAGAAGGGGAAAGAUCAACAGAAAGAAUGAAAACCAGAAAAGUAUGAUGCCAAGAAGACCAGAGGGGAAUGUUUUCUGAAGAAAAUAUUCAACUCUAUUAAAUGCUAUAGAGAGAACAAGAAAGAGACAGACUGAAAGAUGUGUUCACUUUGGAGUAGUGGUCAGAGGCAUUGGCAAGAGCAGUUUCAGGGCCUGAGGAGUUCCCAGAAGGUCUAGGCCUGAGUGGGCUACAAGAGGAGAAAUGGUAUAUGUUUCUUGCAUGAUAAAAUAUUAUAAGCUGAUAUCUUGUCAUCUCUCUGUUUAACAACUUAUCCCAAAACUUAGGGGGAUACUUAAGCAUAAGUAUUUGUUUCUUCACACAGUUUUGGAAGGUAAGGAAUUCAGGAACAGGUUAGCUGAAUGGUCUGGCUCAAGGUCUCUCAUGAGGUUGCCAUGGAGAUGUCAAUCAUGGCAGCAGACUCUGAAAGCUGUUGGCAAGAGGUGGUUCCUCACUAGCUAUACUGAUUGAAGGAUCAUUGUCAAGAGGCCCUUCUUGGAGGCUGGUUACCACUGUGGGCCAUGGCAAUGCAAAGUCAGAAGUCUUACUUAACUAUUUAUGUUAGUGAAGUGGCCAGUAGUAACAUGUUACAUUGCUUUCUUAAAAAUCUGUU